rnacentral:rRNA from 1 species
UACAGAGGGUGCGAGCGUUAAUCGGAAUUACUGGGCGUAAAGCGCGCGUAGGCGGCUUUGCAAGACAGAUGUGAAAUCCCCGGGCUUAACCUGGGAACUGCAUUUGUGACUGCAUGGCUGGAGUGCGGCAGAGGGGGAUGGAAUUCCGCGUGUAGCAGUGAAAUGCGUAGAUAUCAGUCGGAACACCGGUGGCGAAGGCGGCUUCUUGGGCCGUUACUGACGCUGAGGCGCGAAAGCCAGGGGAGCGAACGGG